rnacentral:rRNA from 1 species
CCCGUAGCACCGAUAGCACCUACGGCGGCACAGCAUGGCGCGGAGGGUACGGACCCUGGCGCGGUAGGUGGCAGUUGCGCGUACAUUGGCGCGGGACGGCCGUCUGUUUCUUCGACCGAUGUGCCUUUAGCUGCUCCGCCGCCGGUUGUACAAGCGCGAGCGGCGGUAUAUCCUCCACUUCAUCUUGUGUACUCCGACGGCGGCGAACCUAGGGUACUUCCGGUGGUGGCUCCGCUGCGAUCGCAUGCGUUGUCCACAGAAUGGGCCAGGGUCCGGUGGUAGCAGGGGGAUGGGUUUUUGGUUUGGACUAGACACGUCGAACCGGUGGGAAUGGGAGGCCGACUUCGUAGUCGGUCGCCAAGGUGAGACAGGGCGCUUACACGCCCACGCCCCGCACAUCUGCACUUGUCUUCGCCCGCCUUUACGCAAACGCGGUUGCAUUUCCCCUCGGCCGCUUUUUCUCGCUUUAGAGCAUCUAUACUUCCUUUACUCAGACGCCUAAGUCCUAGGGUUUUUUGUUUUUAUAGUCUUGCCAGUUUAAAUGUCCUAGAUAAGCCCGGCCGAUUUAUGGAGGCAGGGCGUUUGGCCGUAAAUAAAACGGCCUAACUGGCCAAACGCCCUAGACGUCUAUGGUCUCUACGAGAAUGUUGGGUACACGGCACCUGUCCUUGUGGAGCGAUCGUCCAGCGGACCGAGCCUAGCAAAUUGAAAAGAAAAACUCUAGCUCUUGAUAUCCGAGAGGAGUUGGGAAUGGGUAGCGAGUUAGGAGCGGAGAAGGAGGUAUAUAAUUUAUUUUCGUUUAUUUUAGAGAGGGGAGAAAGGGCCGAAUAGAGGUUUUAGGUCGUGGCUAUCUAGGAGUGGAAAGAAGAGGCUCGGUGGAACCGAACGGGGAGCAGGACGUUGCAGCCCAGCUGGAGUGGUCGGGGGACGAGAGCUCGGUGGAGGGCAUCCGGCUACGCCCGACCCGCCUUCGCCGUCGCAGUUCUGCCUCGCACCACUGUCGUAGGACGCCGUGAUCUAGGUGUCCCCUACUUCACACUACGCACCUCCGAAGACUUCCCCCCGGGACGCAAACCGCAAAGACUAGUGUCCCCGGUCUGGGCUAAUUAGCGAUCUAAGAGCUAAUUAGCGAACAGUUUCGCCCUUUAGCCAGAUUUACUAUUUACCGUCUCUAUUCUAUAUUAGUAUCGCCAGUGGGUGGCUAUUCACUGUUUAGUCUACUAUUUAGGCACUUAGUCUAUUAUUUAGUCUACUAUUUAGGCACUAUAAAACUUGUCACAGGCUUGUAUGGGCUCGUUAUGGAAGUUGUUCCAUUGGUGUAUUUUUUUUAGUGGUAACAGUCCAUAUUGGUGAGCCCAGACUGGAUUCGAAAGCAGGGCCUCGAGCUCUGGCCUACGAGUCCAUCGUGGUAGUAGCUUCAGAGAGUACACAACACCGGUGGUGAAAAGAUACUAGGGUUGUCGAUCUAUACUACACUGGCGGCGGUUACACGUUGGGAGAGAGACGCAGUUCGGCAGCAUAUAUUAAACUUAGAGUGGUGGCUUCAGUUGGUGGUCUACUCCUCACUACUGGGGAAGGCUGGAAAGCUACUUGUGAUGGCAGCACCUCAGCAUCAUUCAGUGGCGUUAUGAAACGUUCGUGGUAGUAAACUGGCUGGCCUAGACUUAGUGGUGGUGGUCCGUACCUGGUACGAUCUGUCACCGCCGCGGUCCAAGAUCUCCCACCCAUAAAUAAAACUUCCUCCCAUAAGUAAAACGUUUUUUUUAACGAACAAAAUAUAUUUUAAAGUUACCAAACAAUUUUAGAACCCAUAAGUUGGCUUAUAGAUUCUUCUGGGGACUGUGGCGGGGACCAUGAUCUGGCAUAACGUCGACCGGCCGGUGGCGGAGGCACUUUACGGUUGUGGAGCGGCGGCGCCUAGUGUAGGGCACCUCUCGGGCCGCGUGUGGUUCCAGGGUAGCGGUUUAGCCUAGCUUAGACCGACCUCUGGUCGGGCGUGUGGGUUGGAAGGUGACGACGUAUACUUCUACGUGUGUUCGUCUCUGACAGAAGACUACACAGCCUAGGCUCGUACAUCGCGGGGCUGUUAGGAGGUUCGUGGCCGUUGACCCUUUACCGCACGUGGCGCACUCCGUCAUCGGCUCGUUGGCCUCGGAGGUGAUGGACGUCCGUUCCUUUCAGCGACCUCGUAGGUGGUUGCGACCUUGGAUCGGUCACCGAUUUCCCGACUCGUUCCCCAGCUCCAACCUCCUCUCCGAUCUAGGCCCCUCUAACGCAUGUUACCCCCGCGGGGCGGCGGUGACAGGCGGCCGCCGCCUCCCUAAAUGACCGAUUUGACCGAAACAACCCACCACCGCCGCCACGGAGGCCCCAGCGAGCCUUCGCUAGGCCCUCCGUUAAUCGUGUAGAGGUUUCGCCUAGGAGCUUGGAAGUAAUAUACAGGUUUAGUAAAACCAGUAGGUUACCCCUAGACAUAUACAGAAGAAUCGUCAGGCCUACAUUCCUAAGGCCAUAGGAUUUCUGUUUGCACUCCGGG